UACGAAGGGGACUAGCGUUGUUCGGAAUCACUGGGCGUAAAGCGCACGUAGGCGGAUAUGUCAGUCAGGGGUGAAAUCCCGGGGCUCAACCUCGGAACUGCCUUUGAUACAGCAUAUCUUGAGUCCGAUAGAGGUGGGUGGAAAUUCCUAGUGUAGAGGUGAAAUUCGUAGAUAUUAGGAAGAACACCGGUGGCGAAGGCGGCCCACUGGAUCGGUAUUGACACUGAGGCACGAAAGCGUGGGGAGCAAACAGG
rnacentral:rRNA from 1 species